GGGAGUGAAAUAGAACCUGAAACCCUGCACUUACAAGCUGUGGAAGCACAUUUCUUGUGUGACCGCGUACUUUUUGUAGAACGGGCCAACGAGUUACGUUAAGUAGCAAGGUUAAGCACUUAAGGUGCGGAGCCGUAGCGAAAGCGAGUUUUAACUGAGCGUUCAGUUACUUGACGUAGACCCGAAACCGGGCGAACUACCCAUGAGCAGGAUGAAGCGAAAGUAAAAUUUCGUGGAGGUCCGAACCCACGAGCGUUGAAAAGCUCGGGGAUGACUUGUGGGUAGCGGUGAAAUUCCAAUCGAGCCCGGAGAUAGCUGGUUCUCCCCGAAAUAGCUUUAGGGGUAGCCUCAAGGUGAGAGAUACGGAGGUAGAGCACUGAAUGUCCUAGGGGGUAUUGUACCUACUGAAGACUAUCAAACUCCGAAUGCCGUCAUCUUGUACUUGGGAGUCAGACUGUGGGUGAUAAGAUUCAUAGUCGAAAGGGAAACAGCCCAGAUCGGUAGCUAUGGUCCCUAAAUGUAAGUUAAGUGGUAAAGGAUUUGGGAUUGCACAGACAACCAGGAUGUUGGCUUAGAGGCAGCCAAUAAUUCAAAGAGUGCGUAUAAGCUCACUGGUCGAGUGAUCCUGUGCCGAAGAUGUUCGGGGCUAAAACUUACUACCGAAGCUACGGCUUCAGUAAUGAUGGGUAGGGGAGCUUCCAAUAAGGGUUGAAGCAUGACCGUAAGGACAUGUGGACAGUAUGGGAGUGAGAAUGUUGGCAUGAGUAGCGAGAUGUGGGUG
rnacentral:rRNA from 1 species